rnacentral:rRNA from 1 species
GACGAACGCUGGCGGCGUGCUUAACACAUGCAAGUCGAGCGGUAAGGCCCUUUCGGGGGUACACGAGCGGCGAACGGGUGAGUAACACGUGGGUGACCUGCCCUCAGCUCUGGGAUAAGCCUGGGAAACUGGGUCUAAUACUGGAUAUGACUCCACGGUGCAUGUCGUGGGGUGGAAAGCCUUGUGCGGCUGAGGAUGGGCCCGCGGCCUAUCAGCUUGUUGGUGGGGGAUGGCCUACCAAGGCGACGACGGGUAGCCGGCCUGAGAGGGCGACCGGCCACACUGGGACUGAGACACGGCCCAGACUCCUACGGGAGGCAGCAGUGGGGAAUAUUGGACAAUGGGCGAAAGCCUGAUCCAGCCAUGCCGCGUGAGUGAUGAAGGCCUUAGGGUGUAAAGCUCUUUUACCCGGAAGAUAAUGACGAUACCGGGAGAAUAACGCCCCGGCUAACUUCGUGCCAGCCGCCGCAGUAAAU